CCCCUCAGCCUGCACUCCUCAGGGAGGCGGAGGGCGGGCCUAACGUGCCCGCGGCAACUCCGCCCUCCCGGCUCUCGGGGGCGUGGCCAGAGGGAAGAUUUUUUUUUUUUGAGGGCGUGAAAGAGGUGGGGCUUGAGGAGGAGUCUGAGGGCGAGUGAGGGGCGGGGUUUAAGUGGACGCAGCGGGCGGCCUUGCGUCCUGACGUCACGAGGACCUUAUAUACUCGACUAAGCCGCCAUCUCGGUCUUUCGGAGCUGUGCGGCAGGCUGAGCAGGAAUGGCAAUGUGGACCUCUGUGAUGGGACAACUGGUGGGAUCUCACAUCCAGUUCUGUGUCAAAGGAGGAUGAAGACUAAGGACUCAUGAGGAAGCUGGAUUACUGGACGAGAGCAAUGUUCUAGAAGGGAAGACCAGAAAAUGAGAUGGUGGAGUUUAAUAAGGCUGGACAGACAGUUUUGAAAGUAUUACACAUGGAUCCCCUCAGUUGAAGGCACUGAUGGGUCUUUCUGAAUUUCUGGUCCUUCUGAAUUUCAAGGGCUCCUGUGACAAGUAGACAUGGCAGUGACUUCACCAUUUUGUUUCUGAGGUGCCUGGAUGGAGACUCAAAUAGAAGAUGGUGUCAGAUACAUUGUGUUGUCAAGAUUUUACCAUUAAAGUGUGUUAUAAACA
rnacentral:lncRNA from 1 species